rnacentral:rRNA from 1 species
UUUAAUUGGAGAGUUUGAUCCUGGCUCAGAACGAACGCUAGCGGCGCGCUUAACACAUGCAAGUCGAACGCG